GGCUGGAUAGCUCAGUUGGUAGAGCAGAGGACUGAAAAUCCUUGUGUCGGUGGUUCAAUUCCGCCUCUAGCCAC
rnacentral:tRNA from 1 species